AAAUCUGAAUUUAAUUAAUACAUGGUUUUAGUGUCAUAAAGUCCCAUUAAUACUCAUAUCCUCAUCCUUUUCCACUAAAGUGUCGAAUCAUAUUCAAACCCUCCUAAAACACAAAAGCACUUAUCACGCGCCUAACUACCGCGUGAAACAUCCUUCAGCUACUCCAUGCCCAUCAUGAAAAUUAUGUACUGUCCACCCGAAAAAAUAAAAAAAAAAUAAAAAUAAUCCUCUUUAUUAUCCGCUUCAGCCUUCCCUUAUAAGCUCGAGCUUUCUCAAGCUUUUUACCAUUUCAAAAAUACCACGAAAAUGAGAAACAAAGGAAAAGUUCACCCCUUAAUUUCUUCAUCUUCAUCUUCAUCGUACAGUGCUAGCAAGGAUGUUUUGCCCGUGUUAAAGCUACUGCCUGCUGUUUAAGAGCAUUCAAACCUUUUGUACCAAUGUGACCAAGUCUACCAUGCCAUAACUUUGCUAGAUUAAAAUCAUCAUUUAAAACUGCAUUAGACAGACCCAUAAGAGGUUUAGCAUUUAAGAAGUAUAGACCAUGUCUCUUUGGGAUAGAAGUGACUAAAUCACUUCCCCUAAAGAUUUUUAUUUGUCCUUGACCCAAUUUUAUGUCAAACUCCAUAUCAUCUAACAUUCCUAAGGAAAUUAAGUUUCUUUCUAAAUCUGGUACAAAUCUAGUAUUUUCUAAAAGUAAGAUUCUGCCAUUUUCUAAAAGAAGUUUUAUGGUUCCAAUGCCUUUAACUUUGCAAGUCAUGUUGUUCCCCAUGACAACUUGUCCUCCAUUAGACUUUUCAAAAUUUAGAAAGUAGUUUUUCUUAGGACACAUGUGGAAAGAACAUCCUGAAUCUAGGAUCCACUCUUGAUUUAAGUUUCUUUCAACAUUAACAAGGACUAAACCAUUGUCAGAUUGAAGUGUGUCAUAUGACAUAACAGUAUUUCCUUCACUGACUUUCUUCUCUUUAGAAUCAUUCUGUUUUUUAUAGCAAUCCUUAAAACCCUCCUAAAACACAAAAGCACUUAUCACGCGCCUAACUACCGCGUGAAACAUCCUUCAGCUACUCCAUGCCCAUCAUGAAAAUUAUGUACUGUCCACCCGAAAAAAUAAAAAAAAAAUAAAAAUAAUCCUCUUUAUUAUCCGCUUCAGCCUUCCCUUAUAAGCUCGAGCUUUCUCAAGCUUUUUACCAUUUCAAAAAUACCACGAAAAUGAGAAACAAAGGAAAAGUUCACCCCUUAAUUUCUUCAUCUUCAUCUUCAUCUUCAUCGUACAGUGCUAGCAAGGAUGUUUUGCCCGUGUUAAAGCUACUGCCUGCUGCUAUUUUCGCUUUAAUAUCGCUUCUUCCCUUUGAAGACCGUGAAGUUUUGGCUUAUAUGAUAAGCCGAUCUUUAAAGUUGACAAACCCGCCGGACGAGAAGAAGAAAUCUCCAAAGAAUAGUCACGG
rnacentral:lncRNA from 1 species